UACGUAGGGUGCAAGCGUUAAUCGGAAUUACUGGGCGUAAAGCGUGCGCAGGCGGCUCUGAAAGUCAGAUGUGAAAGCCCCGGGCUUAACCUGGGAAUUGCAUUGAUACUCUGGAGCUUGAGUGUGGGAGAGGAGAGUGGAAUUCCCAGUGUAGAGGUGAAAUUCGUAGAUAUCGGGAGGAACACCGGUGGCGAAGGCGGCGAUCUGGGUAGAUACUGACGCUGAGGUGCGAAAGCGUGGGGAGCAAACAGG
rnacentral:rRNA from 1 species